ACUUUGCUCUGUUCAUUUUCAUGUUUUGUUCUCUCUGUGUUUGAAUCUUCUAUGGAUUGAUGAAGUUUUUAGUCUUUCAUUUAAAUCUCCAAAUCAGUAUUCCUCAUAAAUCUUCCUCAAAUUUUGAAGCCUAAGUUGUAUUUGGGAGUUGAUAUUUUAAUCUGCAGAAAUUUCUAAGUUGUGUUUGGAAGUUGAUAUUGUAGUCUAUAAAAAUUGGUAGUUUUAAUUUUAUAUUCCAUAAUUGCUGCAGUUGGUACUAAAAAAUAAAAAGGAGAAAAAGAAAUGUAUUUCCCCUUCAUCUUUGUUUUUUCGUUGGAUUUGUAAACACCACAGCAGUUGUUUGUAUUGGAAAAUUGAAGGGGAUGAGGAGGUCCAGGAAUUAAUAACCAAGGAGGACAAACCAAUGGAGGAAGCUAUGGCUCUGGAAACAUGUUUAUUUCAUUUAAAGUUUUUUGAUAGAAUAGCAGGUUUCCAACAAUGGGAGUAACUGGAUAAUACUUAACAGAUAGGGCUUCAUGAUGAAGAAAGAAGGUGUUGGAGAUGAAAAUGGUGAUAAGGAAGGUUUAUUAAUGGUUGAACGAAGCAGAGAGAGUAAAGAGAAAGCUCUAGCGAGUAAGUUGAAUAAGAAACUUGAAGCUUAUCGAAUGAGAAAUAUUAGAGAUGUUUUAAGUUGUUAAUAGAUGUGCAUUGGUUACCUUCUUUCGGUAUUAACAUGCAAAUUAAGAUCCAUGCUUUUACAGGGGGAGCAAAAGAUAUUUACCUUCAAUACUGUAGACCUACUACAUUAGGGAAGUAUCUGACUUGACAUCUUAAUACUAUUGAUUAAUCUUUCGAGUUCUUUAUGUGUAAUUUUUUUACUGUAUAGCUUUAGAAGAGUGUUUAAAUUGUUUACCAUUUUUGUUGGUGGAAUCUCACAGGCCUCAGAGAAUAUGAUAAUAAAGUGCUUUCUAUGAUAGACAUAACAAUGCACCAUGAGAUUAACUAUGUUCCAUGUCUUUGACCAAAUUACAUUCUUCUACUGGUAAUACAUUAGAAACUAUAUAGAUAAAGUGUAUGUGACAAUCCUGUGGAAAAUGAAGAGUUUUUCAUGAAGAUGCCUUUCAAGAAAAUUGGUUGUUCAUUUGGAGUAAGUUGCUUUAGCAUGCUUUUGGUGCUUGCAGAGAAGAGCUUUACUCAAUGCUAUUGGUAACUUGGGGCUAAUAGGACCUUAUGGAGAUGCUUUAACUAAGCUUGAAUGCAGUUUAGAUUGGAUGGAGGGUUUUCUACUCCAUUGACUUCUUCAGGAGCCAUUUCUAGAAUGGCUUACAGGUAGUAUACGUCACGUCAACAGUGUUGUUUGGAUAAAAGAACAAGUAUAAGGACUGACAAGCAGAAGUUGUUGGAGUUGUUUCUUGAAAACUUUAGUCACUAUUGCUCAUCUGGUAAUGGUAAUGAAUUUUCUCUGCUUGAGAAAUUCUGUUACUACAAAGCUUAAAGCUAUAAAUGGAGAAGAGAAUAAUGACUAAGUUGAUUAAAUUUUGGAUAAUUUAAAGGUACGAAAAGUAAUAUAACUCCCUGUACAAGAUUAUAACUGCAUAAUUUUUGGAGUCAAUUACUGACUUAUUGCUAAGAAAAAAAAAAAGCAAUGUUUAAAUGUUUAAGCUUUUAAGUGGAGAUGAAAUUGUGCAAUUUACCGUAUUUUUUAUUACUAACUGCAUAAGUUCAUGGUGAACAUAUUAUGUUGCUGAACUCUCGAUUGACAAGGUGAACAUUAUUCUAUAAGACUUUCAUUGGAUUGUAAAGUUUGGUGGCAUAUGCACUUAUGUACAUCAAUGGAGUUAUAUAUUUGAUUUAUGGAAAACUUUUGCAGGAGCUUGCUAGGCAUUCUCGGCGUGUGGAGCCAUGGAGGGAAUAAAUGCAAUAGUCAUAGGUGAAGUUAUUAGCCUCUCUAAAUAAGAACUUAUCGGUUAUAGAGCUGUAAAGUUGGAUUUAUGGACCCUGCUUUUUGAAUGGGUGAUCAACAAUAGUGGGAUUUCAGCAGUUGAUUAUCCCUUAACUGCCUACCAUCUCUGGAAUUACUGUGUUUCUGGCUAAGAUGUAAGUACUCCUGCUUUGAGGGAUUUUAGUUGGCAAGCGUGAGUUAUUUUACCUUUACCAAGAACCAGCACAAGGUAAUUUGUUCUAAUUUUAAGAGUUAACCCAAAAUAAGAAACAAUUGGACUUAUAGAGGCAAACCGAUGAAAAUCAAGGUGGGCUAGACAAGGAGUGGAUAGUUAGACGCCAAUCCGUUUGUACCUAAAUUCUCUAUUCGCAAGAUGUGAAACACCUUCUUUUAUUUGAAAAGAUACGUUGAUCAAAUGUAGCUCAAGGAACCAACGAAGCAAUACUUGGCUAAUAGCUGAUUUAGUUGGUUCAAGGUUUAUAUACCUGAAGAUGACCUUGACUCUCUUAACUCCUUGCUAUUGAAGAAAUUUUGGGUACAUUUACCAGAUUACAACAAAUAUGAGAAUAAUGGGUCUCUUUGUAUAUAUCGUCUCAUAUUCUGAGAGCAGCCAUGGUGGUUUAAGGAUCUGAAGGCUCGGCUUGCCCUUCUCCGUGUUGCACCGGCGGUGCUUUAAUGAGCUCUCCAAGAUAAAGAUGGUAUUAUCUUGCUUAGGUGAUGGUGUCAGAAAACCUGAGAAAGUUAUGCUCUACAUGCUCCAUAAUGUGAACGAGUGGAAAUGUAUGUGACAGUGAUAGCAGCAGAACUAUCUCUGACAUCAACAAAGAGUUGCUUAUAUGCCUUUGAAAACGACGUUUUUGUAUUAUUAGAUAAUUUAAUUUAAAACUUAAGAUGAAAUCAAACUAAGUAAUUUCCUAUACAUACUUCUUACAAAUAAAUGUUGUAAUGCUAA